rnacentral:rRNA from 1 species
UACGUAGGGUGCAAGCGUUGUCCGGAAUUAUUGGGCGUAAAGAGCUCGUAGGCGGUUUGUUGCGUCGGCUGUGAAAUCCCGAGGCUCAACCUCGGGUCUGCAGUCGAUACGAGCAAACUAGAGUGUUGCAGGGGAGACUGGAAUUCCUGGUGUAGCGGUGAAAUGCGCAGAUAUCAGGAAGAACACCAACGGCGAAGGCAGCUCGCUAGGACGGUACUGACGCUGAGACGCGAAAGCGUGGGGAGCGAACAGG